rnacentral:lncRNA from 1 species
UGGCAUACAGAGAAGUGGUUGAGGAGCACAACAAAGGCACAAUAGUAACUUUACUCCAUGAACAUCUUCUAAGUGAUCUGCAAAUAUUAUUGGAAAAAUCUGAUUGUAGAGGCCUGAUAGCAAUAAGCAUUUCUUCCCUUAUCUUCCUCCUGAUUGUUUCACAUUAGGAAAGUUUGCUAUUGCUCGGUCACUUUAGGACACAUUCAGUUCCAAUGUAGAAACAGAAGAGAUCGAGGGCUAUGAAGCAACUUGCUUUCAAUUUUCCCCUUAUUCAAAAUGCAACUGAAAGACACCAUUUUUUUCAAUAACAUAACAUUGUUAGCAGUAGUAAAUAUUUCUACUCCUGCUGUUUCUUCUGACCAUUGUUGGGAUUGAGGCUUCAUUAUUCUGAUGCCAUGCAAGUUUCAAAGAAAGAAUGUCUGCCCUGAAGUGUUUGUACGCUUGGAGUGCAAUCAGGAAUAAUGAAAGGGAUGUGGAUGCAUCACAUGAACAAAUAAAUACGGAGAACUGAUCCCACUUUGUUAUACAUGAAGGUUUUUUCAUAAUUGUUAUAUUUAAGGAAUUCAAUAUUGAUCCCUUUUCAUUCAUGAUUUGGGAUACUAUAUAGUUUAUCAUAUGUUUUUCCAGUAUUUUAUGUCAUCAGGUUGUGAUUCAGUAUGGUGUUGCCUUUAUGAAAGCAGGCAAGGAUUCAUUUCGCUUGCAGCACAAAUGUAACUUCCCUAAGAUGAAAACCAAUUUAAAUGGAAAAACAUUUGUUUUCUUGCUGAUAUUACAUAUAGGAAUGGAAUACUUCUAUACAGCAAUAUACUUCAUUGUCAUGGGAUAGAUGAACAGAUUUGGAUUCCUCAAAGAGAGAUUUGUUUCAAGCCAGACAAGGUGGGACUCAGGAAUUGCAUUUUAAGAAGAAUCACUUUGAAGGCAAGAAAGAGGUCACGUGAGGAAACAAGCACUUGAGGAAAUCUUAUGCAGUUUAAAAUUGAUUGAGUUACAAAUAAAGACAUUCUUCAGAAAAGGAAUGAGCUUUGAAAGACUCAGGGUAUGCAGCACUGUGCUGAGAAUAAGGAAGAGAUAUGGUCCUGUUUCAUUGUUCUCUGGAGUGGGGAAGCGGAGCAGUGGGAGUGUGUUGGGAUCAAAGGAUGGCUGGUAAUUUAUUUUGUGUCCUUUUCUACAGUUACUUUGAUAUCCAGCAUAAGCUGAAAUGAAUAACGUUCAUUUCUUGAGGAAAAUAUGGUGCAUUUGAAAAUCAGUGUUCAAAUGAGCAAUAAUCCAGUCUGGCUUCCUUUGUGUUAUCCAAAGCAGCAGCGUCUUCAGCUUGAGAUAAGGGUAGGGAGACUGCUUAAUUUCAAAGGUUUUCACUUUUAUCUUAGACUGGGAAAUCUGAAUACUUUAAUGGGUUUAGGUUUUAAUUUAAUUCCAGGUUGCUCAUCAUUUCACCUUUCAGCUGGGCUAUAGAGAUAAUUCAAUCAUAUUUCCCUUGACAAGCCAUCUGAAUUAUGCUUAUAUUUCUCUGUGGAUGUGAAAAUCUGCCACCACAAUUGAGUGCAUGACAGACUCUUCUGCCUUCCUUCCUUCUUUCUUCCUUAAUUUUGAGUUUGUUCUGCUCUUGCUCCAUAAUGCAGAUGUCCUCUGACACAGGCACAUGAAAGACAGACCUUGUACUUCUGCAUAGACACGAUGCCAAAAGUUUCAGAAGUAAGGCCAGAGAGCAGUCGUCAGGAAACAAAAAGAUCCAAUAUGAACAAACAGCAUAUUUUGGGUAGUCUGGGGAUUGUGUGGGCUCAACUUCUGCCCAGAGUUCACAUGCUUUUCCUCCUCCAUGACCGUUUUUUACAGAGACUUUACAUUUUGUUUCCCCAGACCUAUCCCCUUGCUAUCCAGCAGUACAUAAUCAGCUCUUAUGACUAAAAUAUGUGAAAACGGAGAAGGAUUCUCUGGUCUGAUUCUUGAACCCAAAAGGCUGAUCAGGAAAGACACAAGCAAGAGGUCACAACAUUGAGAACUACUCUGGAGUGAACCAGCGCUGAACUACACUGUGCUUUAAUGACUUUUAAGGUUUCCAGGUAAGAACAGCUAUCAUCAUCCCACAGAGACAUUUCUACCUUCUUUUCUAUUUAGAGCUAACUCUUCUAUUAGCAUGUUCCAGCUGAGUCAAAGAGGCAUCAAAGGCACUUAAGGCCCUUUUCCUUCAAGACCCAGGCUGUAAUACCUGAGAAGUUUAUCCUCUUUAAUUGCAGACCACACAAACCUGCUGAAAGCUCAGUCUGACACUCCCCUGUGCAUGACAGGCUGUCAUUCUCCUGGAAUAAUUUCCUGACAUUCUUCAGAGAGAUGUGGACAUUCAUUUUUUGCCCUCACAGGAAGCAUCCACAUUGCAUGCUAUUUAUAAAACUGUCAUUCAUUUUGUAACAGGCAGGUGUUCACACACAAACCUGGACAUGAAACAGCCUUUUUAUUCAAGGCAUUUUUGGCACUUUAUUGAAGAUAGGCCCUCCCAGAUGGAGAAUUAAAAUCAGGAUCUCAGUUCUUUUCUAUAGGCAGCUUCUAGAAUGGAUGUCUGUGUAGGUAAGAGGGUGUAAGUAAAAAAACAACAGACCCUAAAACAACUACAAAACUUAAAAUGUGUGCUAAUGUGCAUAUGUGUGCUCAUGUAUGUUUACAUUAAGACAAAUCUCCAAAUGACAACUUAUUAGUACCGAAUAUUUUGUUUAAUUUCUUUUAGUAUAGGAUAACUUCCAACUGCUCUUAGAUUACCAAAAAGACACUGUCUUUUUUGAAGGUCAACAUGGAAGAUAAAGAGAAGACAGGUCAAAUUCUGAAAAUCGUGGAAGAAAAGUAGUUAAGCUGACAAAAAUGAGAAAGGAUGUGAACACAUAAGGUCAGAAUGAAAACCUAAGUUAAAACUUAAUAACUUGUCUUGCGUCAUAGUAGCUCUUCGGUCAAUAAAUUAUCCAGACAAAGUUUAUUACAAAUUAUUCUUUUCAGUGCAAUUAGACAUUUGAAAUAUUGGAACAGAUGGGAAGAGUUUCAGCUCAAAUGAUGAUUCUUCUCACUUUGCUUUCCGGGAAAUGAUAAAACAUUCUUCCCAUAGCCUGGAAAAAAAGAGGGAUUGAGAGAACACACAGAAGCAUAAAAUACAGUGAACUGAAUUAUGCAGCC